CCUACGGGGAGCAGCAGUGAGGAAUAUUGGUCAAUGGACGCAAGUCUGAACCAGUCAUGCCGCGUGCAGGAAGACGGCUCUAUGAGUUGUAAACUGCUUUUGUACGAGGGUAAACGCAGAUACGCGUAUCUGUCUGAAAGUAUCGUACGAAUAAGGAUCGGCUAACUCCGUGCCAGCAGCCGCGGUAAUACGGAGGAUUCAAGCGUUAUCCGGAUUUAUUGGGUUUAAAGGGUGCGUAGGCGGUCGGAUAAGUUAGAGGUGAAAUCCCGAGGCUCAACUUCGGAAUUGCCUCUGAUACUGUUCGGCGAGAGAGUAGUUGCGGUAGGCGGAAUGUAUGGUGUAGCGGUGAAAUGCUUAGAGAUCAUACAGAACACCGAUUGCGAAGGCAGCUUACCAAGCUACUUCUGACGUUGAGGCACGAAAGCGUGGGGAGCAAACAGGAUUAGAUACCCCAGUAGUC
rnacentral:rRNA from 1 species